UGCCAUUUACUCUACAUUCCUCUCUGUUU
rnacentral:piRNA from 1 species